rnacentral:rRNA from 1 species
GACGAACCGUGCGAACGUUGUUCGGAAUCACUGGGCUUAAAGGGCGCGUAGGCGGCCCCCCAAGUCAAGGGUGAAAUCUUUCGGCUUAACCGGAAAAGUGCCUUUGAUACUGGGGGGCUCGAGGGAGGUAGGGGCGGACGGAACUUCCGGUGGAGCGGUGAAAUGCGUUGAUAUCGGAAGGAACGCCGGUGGCGAAAGCGGUCCGCUGGCCCUCUACUGACGCUGAGGCGCG